rnacentral:sRNA from 1 species
GCGCUGGAGAACCCCGAGUGCAGCCCGGAGGCGGCGGAGGGCACCCCGGGCGGGCGGCGGCUGCUGCCCCUUCCCAGCUGCCUGCCUGCCCUAGCCAGCUCCCAGGUGAAGAGACUCUCGGCUUCCAGGCGGAAACAGCACUUCAUCAACCAGGCAGUGCGGAACUCAGACCUCGUGCCCAAGGCCAAGGGGCGGAAGAGCCUCCAGCGCCUGGAGAACAGUGAGCAGGGGUCGGGAGGCGCCUCCUGGGGGCUCCUGGGCCUUGCAGAAUGUCGUGCAUAUUGGUGUUAUGUUACCCCUCCCAUGAGCUGUGCCUGGGUGGGGCUGGGGACCCAAAGAGGUGUCAGCUGUAGGCUGGGGGACCAUAUAAAUAGAGCCAGACACAGGCGCCCCCUGGACUCUUGGAUCAGGGCUGGGUGGGAGGGCGCUGCGGGCAUUGGAGCUGGGGCUUUAAAGGAUAUAUAGGAGUUCGACAAUCCAGAACCUGGGGUCUAGGCGGUCUCUGUACCUUCUGGGGAAGACAGUUGGAGCAUGGAGGUGUGGAGGCUGAGAUGAUAAAAAAGGAGGAAGGCUAGUUCUUGGGUCCCCAUGGUGCCUGGGGGUCCCCAAAUGCCACCCCGGCCCAGAGAGCAUCUGUUUCCACCUAGCCCAGUACCUCCUGACCCUGCUGGAGACAGACGGGGGCCCGCCUGGCCUGGAGGAU